rnacentral:rRNA from 1 species
UGUGACCUCAAAUCAGGUAGGAUUACCCGCUGAACUUAAGCAUAUCAAUAAGCGGAGGAAAAGAAACUAACAAGGAUUCCCCUAGUAACUGCGAGUGAAGCGGGAAAAGCUCAAAUUUAAAAUCUGGCAGUCUUUGGCUGUCCGAGUUGUAAUCUAGAGAAGUGCUAUCCACGCUGGACCGUGUACAAGUCUCCUGGAAUGGAGCGUCAUAGAGGGUGAGAAUCCCGUCUUUGACACGGACUGCCAGGGUUUUGUGAUGUGCUCUCAAAGAGUCGAGUUGUUUGGGAAUGCAGCUCAAAAUGGGUGGUAAAUUCCAUCUAAAGCUAAAUAUUGGCGAGAGACCGAUAGCGAACAAGUACCGUGAGGGAAAGAUGAAAAGAACUUUGGAAAGAGAGUUAAACAGUACGUGAAAUUGCUGAAAGGGAAACGCUUGAAGUCAGUCGCGUCGUCCAGGGAUCAACCUUGCUUUUGCUUGGUGCACUUUCUGGUUGACGGGUCAGCAUCAAUUUUGACCGUUGGAAAAAGAUUAGGGGAAUGUGGCAUCUUAGGAUGUGUUAUAGCCCUUGGUUGCAUACAAUGGUUGGGAUUGAGGAACUCAGCACGCCGCAAGGCCGGG